CCCCCAAAAUCCCCCAAAAUCCUCGCAGGGGGACUGAUCGGUGGCUGAAAGCCCCUUACCCAGCAUCUGGCACAGCUCGGAGCACCAGUGGGCAAGACCCGAGGGGCUCUCUGCACCCAAGGAUGCUCACAGCAGCCUCGUCCCAUCCCGUCCUGCUGCAGGGGGGGUCUGGGGCUGAACACCACCCCCCUUGGGGACACCCAAAACCUCCUCGCCCUCGCCGGCAGCCGCUGGUCUCCACCCGCCAGCCCCGGCGCCAGGGCUUUCCAGCGGUUCCCAGCGCUUUCCAGCGGUGGUUUUGAAAGAGCCGCAUUGUCUGCCUCCCCCCCCCCCGCCGUGGCCCCCUGCUUCUCCGUGUGUUGGGGGGGGUCUGGGCAGCGAGCUCUCCCCCAGCAGGAUCAGCCUCACCCCCUCCGUGCCUCAGUUUCCCCCCUGGCACCUUUUGGGGCGCAGGGGGAGUGGGGCUCAGCCCCCCGAACCCCCAGAUCCCUGGAAACGGACACCAUGGUCCCGUGGGACCCCACGUGGUGCCUGCUGCUGGGGCUCUGCGCCCUGCUCCCCGUCGCCGGCACCCAGGGGACCCCAACCGAGGAUGCGGCGCCGGGGGUCCCCGAGCGCUGCGGCGUCACCUUCCACACCCCCAACCCCUGCGGGGCCCCCCAGGCUCCCCCCUCGGCCUCUCGCCAAGAGCUGGAGCAUCUCCAGAGCCUCCUGCAGCAAACCAGGGCCAGCCUACAGGACGUGGAAGCGGCGGCGGCGCUGGAGGAGCACCGGCCCCGCUACCAGGACGUGAUCGCCGAGGCGCUGCCCGCCAUCCGCGGGGCCAACCGGGAGUUCCAGGAGAGCCUGGACAACGUCCGCAGGGAGCUGGAGGCGCACGUGGCCGAGAGCGAGCACCCGCAGGAGGUGGAGAAGAGGGAGAAGUGAGUGCUGGAGGGGUUUUGGGGACGCAACGGGGUGUCCCCCCAGAGGAGGUGGGCGCAGGAGGGAGCGCGGUUCGCGGUGGGGAGGGAGCCAGCCCCAUGCUGUUGAAAACCAACCUGGGGGGCUCGUCUCUGUGCC
rnacentral:lncRNA from 1 species